AAAAUAAUGAAAUAUGGCUGGCCUUUAGGUUUCCUGGAUGAAGUCUAUUACAGCACAACUCAGCAUCUGAGGAUGUAGAGGCUGUAUAACAAGUGUUAUCACCAAACAGCGUUGGAUAAAGUCUUCAGCAGAGCAGAAGGCGAGAGGUUUGCAGCCAUGACACACAGAGCCUUCCUUGCAUUCCGGACACUCCCAGGAACCGUGAGGGGACCCCUUCUAUAAAAUUGACUCUUUGCAUCAUUCAUCUGGCAGCCAGGACCUGAGACCUAAAGCCGUUUCCCACAAACAGCGACGGGAAUAUCAAAUCCAAACUGAUCAGGAAGCAGGAUCCAGGGUAUAAAUGAUGCCACAGUUGCAAGGAAUAAUGGGUGAUAAGUUGCUGUCCAGGCAGCAUAAAUGCUCCAGGAACAUGCCACCCAUGGUUACAUGUAGCUACUGAAUCUGAAUGAAGGCAGUUCCACUAUACUUUGCGGCUUUGGCAUGGCUUCUCCAGUCCUCAGAACCGUCGGCAGUUCCUGCAACAUAAUAAUUGUUCAACAAAUGCUAUCUAAACUUUCCCCUACUCCAGUUCCCUCACUUUCCAGAUGA
rnacentral:lncRNA from 1 species